CUCAGCCGCUUUGCUCCUGAGAGUCCUCCCAAGAAAGAGGCUUCGUUGCUCGCAGAAAGCUUGGCGUCAGGCAUGUGGCUGCUGCUGAGCUCUCGCCGCUCCCUGAGGCAUCGCCAAGUCCCGCUUGGUGGCUUGUUAAAGGUCAGGCAAUCAGGGCCAGCGAGGAUUCACGGCAGCCAAGAGAUGAAUCUCCCUGCUACCUCUGGAGCCAGGAUUUGGUUGCUGGAGAGCGAGGGGAAAGCUAAAAUAAUACAUUUCCACUUGUGUUGCAUACGCGCUCAUCUCCACCAGUUCCACUGCGGCGUAUUUUGUUGCAGGGGGGAAAAAAMCAAAACGAAACAAUAAAGCGCUAGUCUCUGGCUGCUCCGUAUUCGCCAGCGCUGGAACAAGGCGAUUACAAGGCAGGGAAACUGCAAAUUGGUGACCGCGGGACAGUCAGAAAGAUGGGAAGUGAGCCACGCACUUGCUUGCUGUAAAAGUCUUAGUCUGAAACACACCCUGCUUUAUGAGGAGAGAAAAAGCUCUCUGCUUUCACUUGGCCCUAUGACACAAUGCACGAAGAACGGCUACAUSCUUGCCGCAAUAAAUUGUUUACGUUUUGUUUUGGAAACAGAUGCGCAGGGCUCGAUGCACCCAGGGACUGGCCUCUUUGGCUAUAGCCGCUCGCAGCUAAAUCUGGAACAAGGACGGAAACCUCUAAGGUGUGCGGAAGAAAUGCCUAAAACGGCUCGGUGCGCCCGGAUAUCGUGAAGGACCCAGCGCCCGCUCAACCGCGGACGAAAGCGAGACCCAGCCGGCUCACCCCGAGCRUUGCCCAUGCUUGCCUGGCUGGCGAUAAACUCGAUACCUGCUGGAGCUUAGGGAAGCUGUAGGGGAGAGCUGGCAGCGGAGCUCUGCAGCGGUCCAGAUGGCCAUCUGCAACGUGGGAAACGGGACAGGCUGCUCACCGCGAACCAAACAGCAUUUCGCUGCCAACUGGAAGGCUGAAACACAACGGUUUUACCGCCUAAAUAUUUUAAGCCCAACUUGCAAAUGGAGCAGUUUUGCUUCUCGCCAAUGCAAGCGGCAUCGAGCCGGCUGCGUUUGGGCUGGAGGAGAGCCGGCCGGGCAGCGCCGCGCGGAGAUGAGCCCAGCACCGGCAAGCUGGGGCGGCGAGAGGAGUUCGCGGAGAGCAAACAGCAGCUUCUCCGGUAAGCCGGCGCACCGCGACUGGCAGGAGCGGAGCGACUUAAUCUUUGCAGAAAACUCUCAGCGCCACUGUGCAGCAGCACGGUCCAUCCCAGCACCACAGUCUCUUCUCAGGCGUAGCAUUAAUGGAGAAGGGGGGGGGGGUCUCUCUUCUGAAGCUUUGGAAAUUUUCCUGUCCUUGAGGCCUCAAAAAUCAGCCAACAGCCUCGAGAGGCAUUUGGGAAGGGCAGCCACGCAGCCAGCCCCCGAGCAACGCCGGGAGCAGGGCCCGGUGAUGGCAGCUGCCUCCUGGGAGGUGAGUCCAGUUGCCCCGGGCGGCCCAGAGGAUGGGGCCRAA
rnacentral:lncRNA from 1 species